CAACCAAUCCAGCGUGCUGGGUCUUGGGCCUCGCCUUAGGGCGGGCCUUAAAAUCAGUGGCGGCGCCUCCCGGCUCUAAGCGUAGUAAUUCUUCUCGCUACAGGGUCCCGGGUGGAGGCUGGCCAGCAACCCCUAAUUCUCAAA
rnacentral:misc_RNA from 1 species